rnacentral:rRNA from 1 species
AAUGACGCUUUCAGCUCCAUAGCGUAUAUUAAAGUUGUUGCAGUUAAAAAGCUCGUAGUUGAAUUUCGGGAUUGACACAUCGGUCGUGCCUUAAGGGGUAUGAACUGGUGUAGUCAAUUUCUCACCUUCUGGAGAACCGCGAUGCCCUUAAUUGGGUGUCACGGGGAACCAGGACCUUUACUUUGAAAAAAUUAAAGUGUUUAAAGCAGGCAUUUUGCUUGAAUACUUUACCAUGGAAUAAUAAAAUAGGACGGCAUGAUUCUAUUUUGUUGGUUUCUAGGAUCACCGUAAUGAUUAAUAGGGAUAGUUGGGGGCAUUAUUAUUCAAUUGUCAAAGGUGAAAUUCUUGGAUUUAUUGAAAACUAACUACUGCAAAAGCAUUUGCCAAGGAUGUUUUCAUUAAUCAAAAACAAAAGUUAGGGGAUCAAAAACAAUCAAAUACCGUCGUAUUCUUAACCAUAAACUAUGCCAACUAGGAAUCAAACAAUGUUAAUUUUUUAAUGACUCGUUUGGCACCUUACGGGAAACCAAAGUGUUUGGGGUUCAAAA